CAAGAAAAGGUGAGGGGAAGUGCCUGAUAUAUAGAGACGAGCUUAGAAGCUAAACGACGGAGAGAGCCAAUUCACUAGGCCAAAGAAAUUACGUAUAUUCUUGUCUUUUAGCAUGAGAGUGAGAAAGGAACAGAAGAAAAGUGUCCACUAGCUUUGCUUUGUCAAUAAUGGAGAUGAGCAGAGUGGUAAAUGACAGGAAUAUUUGGGCACACUGACACAUGUGAGAGCACUGAAUCAUUCUUCCCUUCUUUGAUUCAAUCAGACGUGUUUGGAGUGCAAAAAUUAGAAAACAGUAUUAUUCCCAGCAAAAGGAUGCCGACAUGAAGAUGGGUGAUGACUUUAUUCCUCACAGAUGUGAUUCGAUGCUUUUCUUCAAGUUCCGGAAAUAAGACAAGAAGGUCUACUGAAUGUUGUGUUGACAUUUGCAGCUGUUACAUCAGAGUUUGAUGCACCAGAAGUGGCUCGAGCACUACCUUCUCUCCUAGUUUUUUCUACCUGUACAGCCUGCAACUGUGAUGAGGUGUUGAUGGUUGGUGUAGGGUUCAAUCAUGGAGCGAGGACAGAAACCCAGAGAUGAUGAGGAGGAAGGCCAAACAUGGAAGCUCUCAAACCAACUUGCCAGGAAAGAGGAAGGAUAAGAUAGCUGCUGAAGGAUCAUUUAUGGCACAAUCCAGGUAAUCUCCGUGUGGAUUGUUUAUGCUAGAAUCAGCAUAAUUAUCUUAUCUGAGCUCGCAUUAGAUUUUAAACACUAUCCAAAAUGUUAUACGAUGAUAAACUAAACUAAAAUAAUAGCCACAGAAAAGAACUGAUGGCUAAGCCAAUAAAUAUAAUGGCUGAAAGAAGAGCUUGGGCAUGGAAAGUUCCAAGCCAACAGAUUUGCGACACCAGAAAGCAGAACAUAAUAUGUAAAGCCAGGCAUAUUCUCUGAUCCAAAAGAUUCAGAUUCUUUUGCCAACUUGAUCGAGUGAGGCCGAUGGCCUCAUGCAGUCCAGUCCCCCAACCAACUAAAAUGGUGGAUGAGUUACAGUAAGCCUACUGCGAAAAAACCAGUUGAAAAUAGAAGCUGGAGAUUGGAAGGAAGGAAGGGUUGGUGAGAUGGAAAAGGAGGAGUGCGAAGGUCAGGGAAAAGAAAGGAGGACAGCAGCCGGAAUCGACGAGGGCAAGCAAGCCACUUUAAGAUGGUUGGAAGGUGUGGGUCGUAAUGAGAGCACAUGAAUUGAAUGAAUGAAUGAUGCCACAGCUGCUCUCUGCGCAAGUUUUCCCUGCCAUUACUUUUUCUUCCUCCUCGAAGAUCAUGUGGUUGCGCAUUAUAUCUGUGGUUAUAUGUGAAAACAAAACUUUUCCAAAGGGAUCAAUCAUGUUGUCGAGAAGGAUGAUGAGAGAUGUUUAAAUAUGCAGUACAAGUGAUGAUGGAGGAGGUCUAACUGUAGGCAUUAAGGAAAAGGAGCACCAAGUUCAUGUUGCCUGAGUCACUUAAUUAGAAGGCUUUGUUGGUUUUUGGUGGACUCCCUGGCCCAGUCACAAAGAUACAACAGCAUAAUAAUUUGUCCAUGUCUCUCUCUGUUUCUGUCACAGGUGUAAUUCAAACAUGCCUCUUCACCAUAUUUAUGUAUGUAUAUAUAUAUAUAUUCAUAUAGUCCAUGAGUCUACUCCAUCACUAUCUUGGACGAAACCAGUGACGGCUCUGUUGGUGUUCUCUGAGAGCAUCGAUGGGCACAGCUGCUGAGGAGAGCUCGGCUGUUCUGUGCCCCCACCACCCUAACAAUGAUUGAAGAGCUUUGGGUCACCUUCUCCAUGGCUAGAAAACAGCUAGCUGUAUGGGUGGGUCCAUAGCAACUCUUGUUUUUUAUCUCCUUGUGUGGAAUUUUUUUCCCAACAUCAAGCAAUCUGAUGGACCUUUGCUGCAUU